UGUUAUUGAAUCCUAACAAAAGCUAUGUGAUAAUCUUUUCUUCUUCCCUCUGUUUUCUAUUUCUUUUAUUUCUUUUUCUAACAAAACGAAAAGCCUAUGGCCAGAUUCUACGGCGCGAGUUCGAGAGGAGGAGAGAUCGAGUUAUAGAAACCAAAACGUGGUAGGCAUAGGGGGCGCGAUUUUUUGAGAAAGAGAAGGAGAUUCUUCGGGAUUCUGGAGUUUUUGGGCAAACUUGGGAGAAAGUCUAAUUAGGAACAAAGCGAGGAGGACGAAGGAGAAAGAGAGAGCGCGGAGGACGUGAGUUCGGUGCGCGAGCAGUACGAGAUUAGGGUUUUCGGGUUUAAUUGUGAGAAUAUAUCGAACCAGCACUUUGUGACAUGGGGCAGCGACUGUUGAAUGCAGAUUGAAGGAGAAUAAACCACAAAAAUUAGUAUUUUGUCUCUCCAAUUUCUUGAUCUGUCAGAGAACAGUCACGGACAGACGCACGAACACCACCAGACCAGUAGCGA